rnacentral:rRNA from 1 species
GAUGAACGCUGGCGGCGUGCCUAAUACAUGCAAGUCGAGCGAACAGACGAGGAGCUUGCUCCUCCGACGUUAGCGGCGGACGGGUGAGUAACACGUGGAUAACCUACCUAUAAGACUGGGAUAACUUCGGGAAACCGGAGCUAAUACCGGAUAAUAUAUUGAACCGCAUGGUUCAAUAGUGAAAGACGGUUUUGCUGUCACUUAUAGAUGGAUCCGCGCCGCAUUAGCUAGUUGGUAAGGUAACGGCUUACCAAGGCAACGAUGCGUAGCCGACCUGAGAGGGUGAUCGGCCACACUGGAACUGAGACACGGUCCAGACUCCUACGGGAGGCAGCAGUAGGGAAUCUUCCGCAAUGGGCGAAAGCCUGACGGAGCAACGCCGCGUGAGUGAUGAAGGUCUUCGGAUCGUAAAACUCUGUUAUUAGGGAAGAACAAAUGUGUAAGUAACUAUGCACGUCUUGACGGUACCUAAUCAGAAAGCCGCGGCUAACUACGUG